rnacentral:rRNA from 1 species
GACGAACGCUGGCGGCGUGCCUAAUACAUGCAAGUCGAACGAACCGCGACUAAGUGCUUGCACUAAGUCAAGGUGAGUGGCGAACGGGUGAGUAACACGUGGGUAACCUACCUCAUAGUGGGGGAUAACAGUCGGAAACGACUGCUAAUACCGCAUAGGACAUAGGAUCACAUGAUCCAGUGAGGAAAGGUGGCGCAAGCUAUCGCUAAGAGAUGGACCCGCGGUGCAUUAGCUAGUUGGUAGGGUAAAGGCCUACCAAGGCGAUGAUGCAUAGCCGACCUGAGAGGGUGAUCGGCCACAUUGGGACUGAGACACGGCCCAAACUCCUACGGGAGGCAGCAGUAGGGAAUCUUCCGCAAUGGACGCAAGUCUGACGGAGCAACGCCGCGUGAGUGAAGAAGGUCUUCGGAUCGUAAAGCUCUGUUGUUAGAGAAGAACAGCGCAUAGAGUAACUGCUAUGCGUGUGACGGUAACUAACCAGAAAGCCACGGCUAACUACGUG